UUUUAAAAUACGUAAGUUUUUAAUAUAUUCCUUUUAUAAGUAAAAUAUUCCUCCAAAUAGAACAGAUUUAUCAAGUAUUUAUCUAGGUCCAUAAGACCAAAACUACAAGAUGUACUUGCCACAAGUCCACACUGUUGGGAUAAAAUAACUAAUAUAGUGGAUUAAUAUCCAAAAGGGGAGAAGUGGCAAAUUUUAACAUUAUAUACCCCACAUAUCUCAAAAACUGGUGGCAGAUAGAUACAAGAUUUGCACUCAGAAAUACCAGGAUCAUAGGAACAUCAUUUCCAAAUAAGAGUGUCUGUCAUAGACCUACCCCCCCACCUCAAAAAGUAUUUUAUACAGGCUUUAGGAACAGUUUUUGGCAAAAGACAAUAGUAUUUAAAGCAAAAUCCAAAGAGCAAAUAUUUUAAUUUCUUUCAAGAGUAUUCUUAAUUUUAUAAUAUUUUAAAUAGUCACACUAACAAGUUACAUUGCCACAAAAAUACUUGUACAGCAUCAGUAUUCUUGAAGUAUUCACAUCUAUAGUUAUAAUUAGGAAACUUAGCAAUGACAGUCAAUGUACACAAAAAUUUUCUUUUACUCGUGGUGAGUUAAACUCAGUGUCUAGAAUAAGUAAGGCUGGGAUCAACAUAAAAACUGAACUUGACGCCCCUAACAAAUUUCUCAAUGAAAAAGCAAACAGUCCUGUGGGACCAACAAGUUAUACUCAAACAAUGCAAGACAAAUCCAAUUAGAAAUUGGAAGCUGCCAUUUCAUACAUACAAAACACAUGUGAAACAGCAAAGUAAACAUUUUAAAGGGAGGGGCUGCUAUUUCAACCACCAGGGAUAUCAGAAUGUGGUCAAGCCAGCUGAUAUCACAUUUACAAUCUCUUGAAAUACAGCAGACAGCACUCUGGUGUGUACUAUAAAGCAACAUGCUUGAAACCAAGGGGCCAGUGUUGUAGGAGGCCAAAAUAACCUCUAACACCUACAUUUACAAAAACUGCUGACAUUUCAAAAUACGAAUUGUUGAAACAAAUUCUCAUCCCAAAAGAAGCCUAUCAUAGUAGUUGUGUUUGAAUGCUUUUUCUAUCUGAUUUGCAGACACUAUGAUGAAAACAAUUCUGAGUAAAACUGGCUGACUUGCAACUGUGCAUGUAAGGUCUAUUAAAGGAUCCUGAAAAUGUUGAAAUAAAUGUAAGUUGACAUGAAAACACUACGUUUUUCUUAUAUGAAAAGAGUGACUAUAUCUUCCAGUAAACAAAAAUAAGAUUCCCCGAUAAUGAAAAAGAAAUCUUUUUAUCCUUCAUUAUCUAUACUAUACAAAUGAUCUUCCUUUUAAUCGAAGACUCAAAAAUUUGUAUCUGGUUUAUUCUAUUUGAUAUGAAUUGGUAUGUCCACUUGAUGCAUUUGCAAAUACAAAACAAUAUCACUUUGUGUUUGGACAGUCCCUUACUUUCAAGGAACUUAAAGGACUUUAUGGACUUCUCUCUGAUGUCCUAAGUGUAGGUCAAGAGAAGUAAAGGAAAAAAGGUAAGGGGUGCUCCUCAUAGCCCUGCCACACGUCCCGCCCCCGGGUCUGAGGAAUUACACUCAGUGCAGGUGUAAGCAAACUGAAGCAAAGUUGAGUGAUUUUUCUUGUCAUGCUUUUUACAUAUGUAAAAUUUAAGACAAAAUCCUGAAACCAUUUAGUGCAAGUGUGGAUUCCUCAUUUGAAAUCACUACUUUAAAUUUCAACUCUGACUGCUGUCCCUCCACUCUGGUGAGUACACACAGUGCAAAGGACACAAAUCAAAGGACACCUGAAGGGGGCACACCGCCCUUGGACAUAUAGCCUCUGCAGGGGCAGACGUAGUUGUUUGGACUUUUUUGAAACUGAACGAAAGCCACCAAACUUACAAAACAGUUUUUAAAGGAGAUGGUUAAAAAGUAAUUCCCUCAAAGCCAUAAAUAUUUCAAUAGCAUCUAAAAGUGACAUAUAGCAGAAGACAAGAAACACAGGUUUUUAGUAUUUUGCCAUCUUAGGCACACUGCUUCAUGGAAAGGUUAUUUUUUCUUAAACUGAGUUUUGCAUUAUAAAAAUAUUGAUGUCAAAUAUAUGUACUUAAGUGGAAAUCCAAUUUGUACCCAACAUUCAUUAAAAUGAAAGUCUACUGCUAUGAUAUCAAGAAGAAACAUUGUGUUUUAUCUAUCUUAAAUGCAAAUGUUCAGUGGACUUUUUUCUUGUAAAUUACAGCAAGCUGAGGACAGACAGAAAGGGAAAAUUGGGGGUUCCAAAUCAGCCCCAUUUGAGAAGACAAUGCCAUGGCCUUCUCUGCCUUUCUACUUGUGAUGUACAGUGGUCUUAAUGUGGUGAUAGCACUGUGAGGUUCUGAAACUUGCUGACAGAUCUGGAUCAAGCUUGCUUACCUGGACUCCUUGGACUGACAACUAUAAGGACUCAGCAGAGCAACAAGAAGAUAUGUGCAGUCUGCUUGGGUCAGAGGGAUCACAGAACUCAACCACGCAGGCACUGUGACAGUGCAGAAAUGGAUUGUUCUAAAGUAGCACACAGCUGCUCCAUGUGGGACGUGUGUACCAGUCUGAGGCGUCAUAGGCCUGGGCCACUGUACUGAGCAUUAUUUCACAUACCAUCAUACCAUCAUUCACACACACGCAUGCAUGGCCUCAUCAUCCAAAAAUGCCCACUGGACUUUGUCAUAAGAAACCCCUUUGUUUACAGAGAGGGACAUGGAGGCUUAGAGAGGUUAAGUCUUGGCCAAGUUGUCCACUUGGUAAGUUGCAGAUAUGGCAACCCAAGGAUCCUGUACAACAUUCUUUUUACUAUGUCAAAAAGACAAAAGUUUGAAAAGACACUUUUAAAAAAAUUAAGUAUACCUAAUAGUGUAGAAGUGUUCAAAUAUAGAUAGGUCCUCUACAAACAUGUCAAGUAAAGAGCAUCUUGGCUAAUCUGACAAUGAAUAGACCCUUGAGACAAUCUUUCUGAGGCACAAGGUUUUGUUACCAAAUGAUGAUUCUGUCAGCAGCAGGUGCAGGAGGACAAAACAGAGAAAGAACUAUGAAAAUUACAUUAUAAAGAUAUGUGUUUAAAUGGGAUUUAGAAAAUUUGUUAAAAGGGUCUAUUUAUGACUCAGAACGCAAGAGAAAGAUAAAUUAUUUAUUUCUAUACUACAUCUAGUUGAACUUAAGUAUAACUAUAGAAAGUAUAUUUAAAAGUUAAAGAGAUUUAAAAUUCUUAAGUUAUAUCAAGUGUUUUUCAGUUUGAUUAAUCAUAACCAGUAUCAUACAUAGCAUGAAGAAUACUGGGGUUGAUGGGCAGGGUGGUCAGAAUGUGCCCCAGAAGCAGGAUGAGCCUGUUAUAACCUGUUAGCGUUUAGUCAGGAUCACACGCUAUAUGGACCCCAUUUAAUAGGGACAGAGUAACAAAUGGUUCCAUGAUGCUUAAACAGGUGGUUCCUCUGAGCAAUGCCUUUUAAAAUUUUCCAGCAAUAAAAAGGAAAUAAAAUAACAAUUAAAUUGGAUACUAUAUAACACUAUGUUUAUAAAUUUUAAACAUUUGGAUUUUUGGUUUACAUUGCUUUUCCUGCUUUAAUUUCCUAUAAAAUUUAAAGAAUGAAACUGAUUUAACUUCAUUUCUAAACCCCAAAUUGACAUGCAGUUCUGAAAUCCAAAUUUACCUCAAUGAUAUUCCCCCUACUUUAAAAAAUGAGAAGUCAUAACACACAACUUUAAACAGCAGAUGAAUACAAAACUCCACAUUUUCUUUCUGCUAAUCUAAAGUCUGGGAUUGAGAACAAUUUCCCUCUUCUCCUAGAUAAUGAUUUACUUGAUAUUAACCAAAAUCGAUUUUGAGGAAGUGUUCCAAAAUAUCUUGGGGUAAAUCAUAGUAUUGCACCUAUGAAUAUGCUCUAAGAAAAGCAAAAUAUUCAUGGAAGCAUUAAACAAUUGUACCUUUAAAUAAAAAUACUUUAUUCAUUCCUGUCAGAUUAUCAAAAUGUACAUUGUUAACCAAGUAAAAAUGGUACUUUGAAAUAGCUGACUAGGGCAUAUCUGGAGGACUUCUGGUUAAUUUUAAAAGAAUAAAAA